GUCAAAUCACGAUGAACACAUCGGUUCUCGUUCGAUCACCAAAGUUAAACAUCUUAGAAGCAGAUCAGUACUAAGAUGAGGGACCGCUUGUGAACACCCGGUACUGUAAG
rnacentral:rRNA from 1 species